rnacentral:rRNA from 1 species
UACGGAGGGUGCGAGCGUUGUCCGGAAUCAUUGGGCGUAAAGGGCGCGUAGGUGGCGGCUUAAGCGUGCGGUGAAAGCUCGGGCUCAACCCCGAGUCGGCCGUGCGAACUGAGUCGGCUUGGAGCACUGUAGAGGCAGGCGGAAUUCCGGGUGUAGCGGUGGAAUGCGUAGAGAUCCGGAAGAACACCGGUGGCGAAGGCGGCCUG